rnacentral:rRNA from 1 species
AGUGAACGCUGGCGGCGUGCUUAACACAUGCAAGUCGAACGAGAACGGAUUAUAGCUUGCUAUAAUUGUCAGCUAAGUGGCGCACGGGUGAGUAAUGUAUAGGUAAUAUGCCUCUUACUAAGGGAUAACAAUUGGAAACGAUUGCUAAUACCUUAUAUUCCUUUUUAUCAAAAGAUAAAAAGGGAAAGAUUUAUUGGUAAGAGAUUAGCCUGUAUUGUAUCAGUUAGUUGGUGGGGUAAUGGCCUACCAAGACAAUGACGCAUAACUGGUUUGAGAGGAUGAUCAGUCACACUGGAACUGAGACACGGUCCAGACUCCUACGGGAGGCAGCAGUGGGGAAUAUUGCACAAUGGACGAAAGUCUGAUGCAGCAACGCCGCGUGGAGGAUGACACAUUUCGGUGCGUAAACUCCUUUUAUAUAAGAAGAUAAUGACGGUAUUAUAUGAAUAAGCACCGGCUAACUCCGUGCCAGCCGCCGCCGUAA